rnacentral:lncRNA from 1 species
CCAGAGGGCCAGAUGGCCCGCCCCAAGCUUAUUUUUUUUAGCUUUUUGGAUCAAAACUUUCAAGAAGGUUAUUUUGGAAUUUUGACAUCUUUGCUUUAAAGAGCACUUUUUAAAUGAUCUUAUCUAAUUGGAACGUUCCUUUUGAUGGCCAAUGUAAUUCCCCUGAGGCUGGUGGCGGUUUGCUGGGACCCUAAGCUACAAAUGGAGUGCAUCCUGUAUUUCUGUCCCACCAUCUCUGACCUCAAAAUGGGGUGCAAACGCUUAUUUGUCUGGCCAUAAUUUGGGACCCUCACUGACGAUGAUCAAGACAAGCCCUCAGGAUCAAAAAAAGUGUGGAAAUGAAUAUCGCCCUAAAGGGAAGAACCAAGGCUGAUUAUCCGCAGCUGCUGCCGCCAGGGCUCCGGGGCGCCUUUGCUGUGCUGUUGCAUGCGCAAUGUGUGUCCGUGAGGAUCGCCGGGCAGCGUGAAUCUCCAGGGCACCGGGCCCUCCUGGAGUGACUCCUGCAGACCGCUGUGUGCAUGUGUGGGAAGUGGGGUGGGCAGCAUGUCCUUAUUUUUAAGUAACCCCCAGGCCACGCAUGCAGUCUGCGGCCCAUGGGAUGGCCAUGGCUGCUCCACGGUCCUCAUCAGCACCCAGAGCGGACCCUUUCUUGGCCGAGCAGCAAGUUGAGGGCAUUUGAGUAAGAAGGGAAACAAAGGCUUAUCUUGGGCUCAUAAAAAUACGCACAAAAAUUAAGCCCCCUCCUCUGUAACUGAGAUGUUGGCAGCUUUCUGCUGAGACCCCGGGUGUGCUGGGCAUGCACGUCCCACUCCUGAACCCCAGGCCCUCUGUCCAGCAACAGGUGCAGGGCGACUGCUGCGUCCUGACCGUUUCUUGGCCUGGCCCACUGUCCCUGGAUCUCAGAACAGCUGGUGCCAGGUCCCCCCUUUUGGCCUGAGCAGGUGUGGUCGAGACAGGUAGAGGGAGUCCUCCGGUCUCCAGACCACACAGCCCUCUCGGGGUUAUGCACUCGGGGAGCUUCACAGCGAGAGUCUUGUCCCAGUCCUUCCAGAACCUUCCGUGUUGACCAAAGUCAUCCCUGGACGUGUGGGGUGAACAGUACCCUGAGUGUCCUGUCACACCUCACCCCUAAGUCCACCUGGAAGAAACAUGAGGAUCUUCUGCGUCUGAGUCCAUGGCCCCCUGAGGAGAGAACAUUCUAGAAGCAGGGAAGGAGGUCAGGUAAGG